GUUCAAAUCUGAAAUCCAGCGGACUGGAGCAGUGCCAGAACGAUUGAAGAUUAGAGGCUUUAUUCAUAAUUCCUGGUGCAAAGAAUAGCAGCUGAUGUGGAGAAAUGUUUGAUGCUUCAAGACUCUCUGAAGCUGAUUAUAUUAGGUGCACCCAGUGGCUUUUGACUAGGCCUAUUCGAGGGUCACAUGGUUGUGAAUUCAUACCUCAACUUUGCGGCUGGAUUUUCAGUCUUAUUACAACUUCAGUCUGGCGUCCCGGGAGCAGGCGUCUUUUGCACACUUGAAUUAAUUUCAAAGAUGUUUUGUUGGAAUCACAACACUCACUGGAUACAAGACGGAUACACAGAGGCAAAACAAGUGGAAAGGUCUCAGGGACAGCCCUCAUGUGUGUGCUCAUCUCAGAAAGUUGAUGGACUUUCAGUAUGUAUUUAUUAAAUUGUCUUUUGCAGGAAUAUUCUAAAUUUAAUAUAACAUAAGCUCAAACAACAGAAUUUGUGGUAUAAUGUUGCUUCCAGCAUUUUAUUUUAAUCCUUUAACCAAAAUUAUACAAAUUCUGUUGAUUGGCUUUUUUCAGAAUUUUUUGUGAUAUAACAGUUAUUUGUAGUUAUUUUGUGAUGCUAUGUUAUUUUUAUGAUAAGAUUUUAACUGUUGAAAGACUGACAUUUUUAUUUUUACCAGUAAAAGCCUUGCAAUGUCUUUCUGCCAGUUUUAAUAAAUAUU